UAGGGAAUCUUCGGCAAUGGACGAAAGUCUGACCGAGCAACGCCGCGUGAGUGAAGAAGGUUUUCGGAUCGUAAAACUCUGUUGUUAGAGAAGAACAAGGACGUUAGUAACUGAACGUCCCCUGACGGUAUCUAACCAGAAAGCCACGGCUAACUACGUGCCAGCAGCCGCGGUAAUACGUAGGUGGCAAGCGUUGUCCGGAUUUAUUGGGCGUAAAGCGAGCGCAGGCGGUUUCUUAAGUCUGAUGUGAAAGCCCCCGGCUCAACCGGGGAGGGUCAUUGGAAACUGGGAGACUUGAGAGCAGAAGAAGAGAGUGGAACUCCAUGCGUAGCCGUGAAAUGCGUAGAUGUAUGGAGGAACACAAGUGGCGAAGGCGGCUCUCUGGUCAAUAACUGAAGCUGAGGAUCGAAAGCGUGGGGAGCAAACAGG
rnacentral:rRNA from 1 species